GAUGAACGCUGGCGGCGUGCCUAAUACAUGCAAGUCGAGCGAACGGACGAGAAGCUUGCUUCUCUGAUGUUAGCGGCGGACGGGUGAGUAACACGUGGAUAACCUACCUAUAAGACUGGGAUAACUUCGGGAAACCGGAGCUAAUACCGGAUAAUAUUUUGAACCGCAUGGUUCAAAAGUGAAAGACGGUCUUGCUGUCACUUAUAGAUGGAUCCGCGCUGCAUUAGCUAGUUGGUAAGGUAACGGCUUACCAAGGCAACGAUGCAUAGCCGACCUGAGAGGGUGAUCGGCCACACUGGAACUGAGACACGGUCCAGACUCCUACGGGAGGCAGCAGUAGGGAAUCUUCCGCAAUGGGCGAAAGCCUGGCGGAGCAACGCCGCGUGAGUGAUGAAGGUCUUCGGGUCGUAAAACUCUGUUAUUAGGGAAGAACAUAUGUGUAAGUAACUGUGCACAUCUUGACGGUACCUAAUCAGAAAGCCACGGCUAACUACGUG
rnacentral:rRNA from 1 species